AGGUUUCUGAAUCUGCACCGAGAUUUCAUCAGACACCAGCCCAUCAGGAUCGAUGAGAAUCUGAAGAUAGGUGAGACG
rnacentral:pre_miRNA from 1 species